rnacentral:rRNA from 1 species
GGGCCCGCACAAGCGGUGGAGCAUGUGGUUUAAUUCGAUGAUACGCGAGGAACCUUACCAGGGCUUAAAUGUUAGGUGACAGAUCUAGAAAUAGAUUUUUCUUCGGACACUUAACAAGGUGCUGCAUGGUUGUCGUCAGCUCGUGCCGUGAGGUGUCAGGUUAAGUCCUAUAACGAGCGCAACCCCUGUUGUUAGUUGCCAGCGAGUAAUGUCGGGAACUCUAGCAAGACUGCCAGUGCAAACUGUGAGGAAGGUGGGGAUGACGUCAAAUCAUCACGGCCCUUACGUCCUGGGCUACACACGUGCUACAAUGGUAGGUACAGAGAGCAGCCAAUGCGCGAGCAUGAGCAAAUCUAUAAACCAUAUCACAGUUCGGAUCGGAGUCUGCAACUCGACUUCGUGAAGCUGGAAUCGCUAGUAA